rnacentral:rRNA from 1 species
UACGAAGGGGGCUAGCGUUGCUCGGAAUCACUGGGCGUAAAGCGCACGUAGGCGGAUUGCUAAGUCAGGGGUGACAUCCUGGAGCUCAACUCCAGAACUGCCUUUGAUACUGGCGACCUUGAGUCCGGGAGAGGUGAGUGGAACUGCGAGUGUAGAGGUGAAAUUCGUAGAUAUUCGCAAGAACACCAGUGGCGAGGGCGGCUCACUGGCCCGGUACUGACGCUGAGGUGCGAAAGCGUGGGGAGCAAACAGG